rnacentral:lncRNA from 1 species
AAGUUUAAGAUCCCCUAUUCAUCCUCAAUUUAUACCAGAGUCCAUAACCAUCAUCAAACAUGUUUUUUUAGCAUAAGUCUAAGCAUUUGGAUAAUGGGAAAAUAGGUAACAGCAUACAAUUUCAUAAAUUUGUAGGCUCAACCACAAACAUACAUGAUUAUUAACUAAAUCAAUACCCAAAGUUCAUGAAUUUCUAGACUUAACUACAAACAUACAUAAUUACUAAGUAAAUCAAAUUCUUAAAUCAUAAUAAUUUCCCAAAAUCUCUAACUAAAGGAACCCACCUGUUAUGAAAUAGCAAUUUUUCUCUUGAAACUCCUAAAUCCUCAACCUUACUUCAAGUUCCAAAUUCUGAUUCUUGUGCAAAAACUUCAGCCCCUUAUCUUCAAUUUACUUCCAUGAGUAAUAAAAUACAUUUGCAUGUAGUGGGUGUUAAUAAAGGUUGAUGUUUAGAAGAGAUGAGUAGGUGGUGGUGGUGAUACGUGAGAGAAGAGAGGAAGAGUUUCAANNNNNNNNNNNNNNNNNNNNNNNNNNNNNNNNNNNNNNNNNNNNNNNNNNNNNNNNUCCUUACUAUUACUCUUAACUAUUUUAAAGUGGGUUGUUACAUCCUACCCCCCUUAAAAUAAUUUCGUCCUCGAAAUUGAAAAUUCAUACCUGAAAACAAGUGGGGAUAUUGUUUUCGCAUCUCCGAUUCGAGUUCCCAAGUAGCUUCUCCGUCCGGGGAUCCUUCCCACAACACUUUCACGAUUGGAAUGGUUUUACUUCUUAAUGCCUUGACAUCGCGGCCUAUAAUAUGAACUGGUUGCGGUUGAAAUGUCAAGUCUGAUUUCAAGUCCACUGUAUCCAAGUCUACUGUUGUGAACGGGUCAGGGACAAACUUUCUGAGUUGAGACACGUGAAAAACGUCAUGUAGUCCUGACAUUGCCGGAGGCAAUGCUAGUCUAUAUGCUACCUCACCGACUCGUUCAAUGAUUUGAAACGGACCAAUAUAUCUCGGGCAUAGCUUCUUGGUUUUAAACACACCUCUUAAUCUCAACAUAGGAGUUACUUUCAAAAAUACGUGAUCACCUUCCUUAAACUCCACUGACCGUCGUCCUUUAUCUGCAUAACUCUUUUGGCGACUCUGAGCCGUUUUCAUCUUUUCUUGAAUUGAUUUAAUUUUCAAGGUAGUCUCUUGCACCAUGUCUGGUCCUAAUAUGCCUUUUUCACCAACUUCAGCCCAACACAAGGGUGUCCUGCACUUCCUACCAUACAGGGCUUCAUAAGGAGCCAUUCCGAUGCUGGAAUGGUAGCUAUUGUUGUAUGCGAACUCAAUCAAGUGCAGAUAGUUACCCCAGCUGCCUCCAUCUUCUAACACACAUGCUCUCAGCAUGUCUUCCAGAGUUUGAAUUGUUCUCUCAGACUGUCCAUCUGUCUGAGGGUGAUGAGAUGUACUCAUUUUCAAUCUAGUGCCCAUAGCUUCCUGAAAUGCCUUCCAGAAUCUUGACGUGAACCUUGCGUCUCUAUCUGACACGAUACUCAGGGGUACACCAUGCAACUUCACAAUCUUGGAAAUAAAGAGCUCUGCAUACUUUGGGGCCUUAUAAGUUGUCUUAACUGCUAUGAAAUGCGCUGACUUCGUCAAUCGAUCCACGAUUACCCAAAUUGAAUCAUGUCCCUUCUUUGUGCGCGGUAAUCCACUAACAAAGUCCAUUGUAAUUUGCUCCCACUUCCACUGAGGAAUCUCAAGUGGUUGCAACAACCCUGCUGGCUUCUGAUGCUCAAUUUUCACCUGUUGGCACACUAUGCAACGUGCCACAAAUUCUGCUAUUUCGGUCUUCAUGCCGGGCCACCAAUAGUCUUUCUUCAAGUCAUGGUACAUCUUGGUGGAGCCGGGGUGGAUAGAGAAUCCACUUUUAUGGGCCUCACUUAAAAUCAACUGCUUCAAUUCAGUGUCGUUUGGUACACACAAUCUACCUUCAUAAAGGAUGGCUCCGUCUGCUGAUACAGAGAACUCGGGCUUACCAAUUCUUCUUUGCAAAUCCGGGUCAGAUAUCUGAGCUUGGACGAUCAUGCUUCUCAAAUCGCAGGACAUCUCAUAUUUAUUCAUCAACAAUCCACCUUCCACGUCCAUCACGUUGAGAUUCAAAUUCCUGAAACUCUCAAUGAGUCUACACUUGUGCAUCAUCAACUCUGAUGCAUGCAAAGCUUUCCUGCUCAGAGCAUCCGCUACUACAUUUGCUUUGCCAGGGUGAUAUUUCAAUUCAAAAUCAAAAUCUUUCAAGUACUCCAUCCAGCGCCUCUGCCUCAUAUUUAACUCCUUUUGAUCAAACAGAUAUUUCAAACUCUUGUGGUCGCUGAAUAGGUCAAAAUGAACUCCAUACAAGUGAUGUCUCCAUAUUUUCAGUGCGAAAAUUAUGGCAGCUAAUUCAAGGUCAUGUGUAGGGUAGUUCUCUUCAUGCGUCUUGAGUUGCCUGGAUGCAUAUGCCACCACCCGGUCAUCCUGCAUAAGCACACAUCCAAGUCCUUUAGCUGACGCAUCACAAAACACUACAUAGCUCUUGGUUGGAUCCGGAAUGGUUAAAACUGGUGCCUGAGUUAACAUCUCCUUUAACCGUCUGAAACUUCUCUCACACUCUUCGUUCCACACGAAGGGUGUGUCUUUUCUAGUCAACCGCGUCAAGGGUAAUGCAAUUUGUGAAAAACUCUUGAUGAAUCUUCUGUAGUAACCAGCUAAACCCAAAAAACUUCUAACUUCGGUGACACUUCUGGGUCGCUCCCAAUUCAACACUGCCUCCACUUUCGAUUGAUCCACUGAUACUCCACCCUGAGAUAUUACGUGGCCUAAGAAUUUGACUUCCGACAACCAAAACUCACAUUUGCUGAACUUGGCAUACAACUUCUUCUCACGAAGGAUUUCUAAGACUAUUCUUAAGUGCUCUGCAUGCUCUUGAGAAUCCUUAGAAUAAAUCAGAAUGUCGUCAAUGAAGAUAACCACAAACUUGUCUAGAUAUGGCUGGAAGAUGCGGUUCAUAUAGUCCAUAAAGAUGGCUGGAGCAUUAGUAACACCGAACGGCAUCACCAAAAACUCAUAGUGACCGUAUCGGGUUCUGAAGGCAGUCUUUGAAACAUCCGAGGAUCUAAUACGGAUCUGGUGAUAACCGGAUCGCAAAUCAAUCUUUGAAAAUACGGUCGCGCCUCUGAGUUGGUCUAAUAGGUCGUCAAUUCUCGGUAGUGGGUACUUAUUCUUGAUGGUAACUUUGUUGAGUUGACGGUAGUCUAUACACAACCGCAUUGUACCAUCUUUCUUCUUAACCAGGAGUACUGGUGCUCCCCAUGGAGACACACUAGGUCUGAUAAAAUGCUUUCUAAGCAACUCUUCCAACUGAUUCUUCAACUCUCUAAGUUCGACAGGUGACAUCCGAUAAGGUGCCACGGAAAUAGGCUGAGCUCCAGGAAGCAAGUCAAUCGAGAAUUCAAUUUCUCGUUCUGGAGGGAGAUUCGUGAUAUCGUCGGGAAAGACAUCUAAGAAUUCAUUCACAAUAGGAAUGUUGCUGGGACUCAGGACAGGUUCUGGAGUCACAGUGAACAAGAUACAAAAAUUCUUAUUUUCAGCGAACAGGUAUUGAACCAUCUGGUGGGUGUUCUGUAGUAAUGUUGAUAAUGCUACACCUUCAGCGGUGUUCUCGGUUGGCAUAUAAAUGCUCUUCUCAGCGCACCCAAUAUACACGGAAUUGGCAGAAAGCCAAUCCAUGCCUAAAAUGACAUCGAGAUCACUAAUAGGUAAGCAUAUGAGAUCUACGAAUAACUAGAAUACGAUACAAAAUACUCAUAACGGUACAUGAAUCAUNNNNNNNNNNNNNNNNNNNNNNNNNNNNNNNNACACAUUAGAUUGACCAAUUAAGCACAUACCCGCAAUCAAACUGUUGUCGCUUUUAGCUUUCUCUCCUUCCAUGGUGUAGACUCUUCCUUUGCUAAUUGUAGUGCCUUCUGCACCACCCACGCUUUUCCAUUUAGGGCAGUCACUCUUCAUGUGCCCCGGUUGCUUACAAAAAUAACAUAUUCCCUUCCCUUUCAUGCAUUCACCACCGUGAUAAUUACCACACUUAGGGCAAGUUCUAGGGGAUUGUGGUGAGUGAGUCUGCUUUCCCUUGCUAGGAGAACCCUUAGCCUUCAAAUGUUGCUUAAACUUUCCCGAUUCUUUUCUCUGUUGGUACGCAGCCUGCUUCUCUUUGUUAGCAAAGUCGAUCGUCGCUUCGGCUGAAUACGCCUUCUGAAUUAAGUCUGCAAAAUUAGCAAUAUUUUGUAAAGACACCGCAUGGGCAAUGUCUCCCCUCAACCCAUAACGGUACUUGUUCAUCUUCCCCUUCUCCGAAAGAACGCCGUUAACAUCGGAGGAAUAGCGAAUCAGCUCAUUGAACCUCUGAGUAUACUCUGCCACGGUGGAACUGCCUUGCUUAAGUUCUCCCAGCUCACGCCCCAUUUGAAAUGAGUAACUCUCCGGCACAUAAUG